rnacentral:tRNA from 1 species
GCCGGCGUAGCCCAAUUGGCAGGAGGCACUAGGUUUAGGUCCUAGCCAGUGCGGGUUCGAAUCCCGCCGCCGGCA